rnacentral:rRNA from 1 species
UCAGACGAUGCGUCAUGCAUAUCAAUAAGCGGAGGAAAAGAAACUAACAAGGAUUCCCCUAGUAACGGCGAGUGAAGCGGGAAGAGCUCAAAUUUGAAAUCUUAAAGGGUUUCCCUUUACGAAUUGUAGUUUAAAGAAGUGUUUUCUGUUGAGGUUUUGGUAAAAGUUCUUUGGAAUAGGACAUCAUAGAGGGUGAGAAUCCCGUAUUUGACCUUUACUUUCAACUUUGUGAUACACUUUCAAAGAGUCGGAUUGUUUGGGAAUGCAGUCCAAAAUGGGUGGUAAAUUUCAUCUAAAGCUAAAUAUUGGCGAGAGACCGAUAGCGAACAAGUACCGUGAGGGAAAGAUGAAAAGAACUUUGAAAAGAGAGUUAAACAGUACGUGAAAUUGUCAAAAGGGAAGCGUUUGACACCAGUGUUGUUUUUCUGAAAAUCAAUUAAAGAACUGUUUAUGCUAAGUUGUUUAGACUUUAUCAGCUAACUGUUUAGUUUUGAGCUUUUCUUUAAUGCACUUUUCAGUUAACAAGUCAACAUCAAUUUCUUUUGCUGUAAAAAGCUUGAGGAAGGUGGCUUGAGAUUCGUCUUAAGUGUUUAUAGCCUCUUGCCUAUGCAGUCGGAGAGAUUGAGGUCUGCAGCGUAGAUCCUUCGGGGCUAAAUGCAUUUGUGCUAAGUUAUAGCAUUUUAUAGACAACUUGUUGACUAUGAUUUGUCUUGUAGCUUACUCGCUUAUGUUAUUUUACCUACGCUUAGGAUGUUGAAUCUGUGCGAGACUAC